AAUUUAUAGCGCAUUGACUUUUGGCUCGCAGAAGUUACUAAACCAGUACAUUCGAAGGUGCACCUGCCUUCACAUAGCCUGCCUGUUGCAACGGCGGCGGCGCGGCGUCCAAACUAUUUGAUACAUAUAAGUAGUUGCAAAAUAUACCUGUAUAAAUAUAUGCAACAUCGUUUAUAUUAUGAGAUGAUGCUGACAUAUUUCACUUUGGAUAAAUGCCAGCAAAUACUUUAUGGGUGUGCGGCAGAUCGGCUUGAGGUACGCGGGGGAGGGCGGACGUGCCAAGGCAGGCAGGCAAGCAGCAUAUUUACUCAUACGCUUGAGGCGUAAAUCACCGUGCAUCUAUUUCGAGUGAGCGGCUACAGGCAGGCGCGGGGCACGGACAGACGCCGAUGCCGGUCUGGCGCCAGAAGGAUUCCCCAGCGCCUCGCUCCCCGCGCCUCCUCUCGAGGUCACGCGCAACCAUAAACUGGCGCUCAUUUAAAAUCGGCGUUUGUCAAGCGAGCCUAAU